rnacentral:tRNA from 1 species
GGUGAGGUAGCUCAGUUGGAUUAGAGCAGAGGUCUACGAAGCCUCCGGUCGUGGGUUCGAAUCCCACCCUCAUCA